UUAAUUAGCUAGCAAUUUACCUUACCUUGAUUGUAUUUUUAUAAUUGCCCAUACUGAAACCCACGUUUAUGUAGUUAAAUUGGGCUGUUGAGUUUACAUGAAAGGGGAAAAAUUAUAUGAUAAUUGAUGCUGGUAUAAAGUGAGUUUUCUAGCCAGCAAUCGACGUUAGCUAACUAUCGAACAAUCAAUCUAUUAGCAACCGGAAGACUUAAUUUAGCAACGUAAUAAAAAUAAAAAUGUUCAUGCAGAAUUUUGUUGUUAAAUGUAGCUAGCCUAUUGCUGUAUUCCAUGUUGUCAGUUUAAUUAUUUGUGAAGGAGGACUUGCCUCGACAAAAUGUGUGGCAGCAAGGUGAUAUCGAUAGUGCACGCUUUCUCUAUCUAGAAUGAUGCUGUGAAGAAACAUUUAUUUUGCAAAAGUGUCAGACGUUAUUAGCCGUGCUUGACUUGGACCGAUAUAGGUGCCGGUACUGUUUAUAUUUUGGUGCAGGAGCUCUACCAUACUAUUGAACAGGAGCUCAGGAACUCAAGCGUAUAAAAUUUGACGUGCAGCUACUCCGCUCUGGCGAUCUCCUGCCCAUGUCAAGCACGGCUUAUUAGCUAACAUGACAACAUUUCUGUGUUCAUGAUUUUCUCUGUAGGACUACAGUAUGUAGAUGGAGACCUGUAACAGUGGACCAUGCUCCAGACAGUGAGUAACCCCCCGGGCUUGUGCAUCAGUGCUAAAACCAUUCCAGAGAGAAAGCUGAUAUAUUCCUGCCCUGGCGCCACAGACCCUGUUCCAGAGAGGAAGCUGAUGUAUUCAGGCAAUGGUAUACUGGACCCUGCUCCAGAGCGUAGGUACAGGCAGGCCUAUUUUUCCAGGUAUAGGUGGAAAUGGAGGAAGAAGUCCCAAAAAAAAACACAGCCGUUGCCGCCAGCCCCACCUCUGCCACCAUAUGAGGAAGAAAACUGGGAGGACGAGAUGGGAAUCGUAGAGACGUAUGGAUUUGCUCCAUAUGGCCCAGAGGAUGUGGAUAGAGUGGCCCUACAGGGGUUGACCCUGAACCAGGCCCCCUGCCCUCCCCACCCCCAGACAGCAACCGACUACAGCCCUGCCACCCACCACCAAGCCCCCAUCAAAUGGGUCCGCCACAUCAUCCGCAGCGUGGAGGAGCAGUUUGUCGACGCAGAGGUUUGAGGUCCG
rnacentral:lncRNA from 13 species